rnacentral:rRNA from 1 species
UACGUAGGGUGCAAGCGUUGUCCGGAAUUAUUGGGCGUAAAGAGCUCGUAGGCGGUUUGUCGCGUCUGCUGUGAAAUCCCAGGGCUUAACCCUGGGCCUGCAGUCGAUACGGGCAGGCUAGAGUUCGGUAGGGGAGGACUGGAAUUCCUGGUGUAGCGGUGAAAUGUGCAGAUAUCAGGAGGAACACCGGUGGCGAAGGCGACAUCCUGGACCGGUAUUGACGCUGAGGCGCGAAAGCCAGGGGAGCAAACGGGG